rnacentral:rRNA from 1 species
AUUAGAUUAAAAACCAAUGCCCUUCGGGGCUCUCUGGUGAUUCAUGAUAACUUCUCGAAUCGCAUGGCCUUGCGCCGGCGAUGGUUCAUUCAAAUUUCCUCCCUAUCAACUUUCGAUGUUUGGGUAUUGGCCAAACAUGGUUGCAACGGGUAACGGAGGGUUAGGGCUCGACCCCGGAGAAGGAGCCUGAGAAACGGCUACUACAUCCAAGGAAGGCAGCAGGCGCGCAAAUUACCCAAUCCCGACUCGGGGAGGUAGUGACAAUAAAUACUGAUACAGGGUUCUUUCGGAUCUUGUAAUUGGAAUGAGUACAAUUUAAAUCCCUUAACGAGGAACAAUUGGAGGGCAAGUCUGGUGCCAGCAGCCGCGGUAAUUCCAGCUCCAAUAGCGUAUAUUAAAGUUGUUGUGGUUAAAAAGCUCGUAGUUGAACCUUGGGCCUGGCUGGCCGGUCCGCCUCACCGCGUGUACUGGUCCGGCCGGGCCUUUCCCUCUGUGGAACCCUAUGCCCUUCACUGGG